GUCAUUAACAGGCUUAUCGAACACGCACUGCAUGGAUUUGAUUGUUCAUUAUUUGUGUUUCCUCAGGCUGGAAAAGAUGCAUUUUCCAGGCAGAGGUCACAUAAAAGGUCAGGAAUGAUUUCUUUGCAGAGUUUUCAGGGCUUUGGAACCACACUGGAAUCGCCCCUGGACUGGAGAUGCAAAGUCCUGUUCAUAGUCUCCAGAUGUUUUUUGGAGGUACUCAUCUCCCUGCAUAUUAAUCAGUGCAAGCACAGACACGCUUGAAUUCACUGAGAUGGAGAAAAAAAAGGAGAGAUGAAAGUCAGUCAAGCAAAAACCAAAAAGACAAAAAGUCGUGUC